rnacentral:rRNA from 1 species
UACGUAGGUGGCAAGCGUUGUCCGGAUUUACUGGGCGUAAAGGGCGCGUAGGCGGCUCGGCAAGUCAGGAGUGAAAGGCCUGGGCUCAACCGAGGAACUGCUUUUGAGACUGCCGAGCUAGAGUGCAGAAGGGGCAACUGGAAUUCCCAGUGUAGCGGUGAAAUGCGUAGAUAUUGGGAAGAACACCUGAGGCGAAGGCGGGUUGCUGGGCUGACACUGACGCUGAGGCGCGAAAGCGUGGGGAGCGAACAGG